UGGUGGUCACUGGUUUGAAGGGAGAAUUGUUGGAAGGCCAAAACUUGGUAGUCAUUGAAGUUCAAACCCAACAAGAAGCAACAUUUUUUUCCAUAAAAUUUCUGAUGGUAUUAAUCUCAGAACUUCAUACAUAUAGAGUUUUGGCUAAUGCCUAAAACAACAUCGAAUUCGGGGUGAACAAACAUGGUACAAGAACCAAAAGAGAUAUAAGUAAAAAAAGAGAAGAUUAGGGGUAAAGGGAGCGAAACUAGAGCAUUAAAGUCUUGGAACUUCGGUAACUGUCUCCUGGCCAAGCAGAUGUUGCGGAUUCUUUUAUCGAGCUGAGGAAAGAGGGCUUCUACUUGAGUGCGUAUACCUGUAAAGAUGCGAGUGUUUCUUUCAUGCCAAAUUGUGUAAAUCACCGCCUGAGCUACCACGAGCUUCAGCAUUGUCAGAUUUGGGUCGUUGUUAGCGGAUCAUAGCCAUAAGAGGAAGCAAUCCCAGGAAUUGAAACCCAUGAAUGGUAAUUUAAGCUUUUGAAGGCACCAUCUCCAAAGAUCAUAAGAGUAAGGGCAUCGCAAGAAAAGAUGAUCCCUUGUCUCGAAGUAAAUUUCACAGAGGAAGCAAGAGUCGUCUUCUACCGUUCCCUAGGUUCUUAGUCGUGACAAAGUUGGAAGUCUGUCAAAGCAGCAGAGCCACAUAACAAAAGAAUGCUUGGGAACAGCGCCAGAGAACCAAACUUGAUUAUGCCAGGGCACUUCUUGGUGUGGAGGCUUGAGGAGCUCCCAUGUCUCAGAGAAGCUAAAUCGAGUAUGCGGAUCAGCAUUCGGUCUAGCCCACAGGUAAGUAUCUUGUGUAUUUUCUACGAGUUGAGUGUUGGUGAGGUGGGUAAAGAGGAGUUCCAUAUUCUGGCUACGAGCUCGUCGCCGGAAUAUACUCCUGUUCCUUGUAUACGCCUUAGCCACUGUGGAGUCUAGUGGUAAGCCUAUUCUUUGGUGUCCAUCGGUUCCCAGGUAAGUAAAUAGAUCUCCAAAAGGAGUCCACUUAUCAAACCAGAAGGAGCAAUUUCUACCAUCACCAAUUUGACAAGACAGGAAAGAUUUGGCAGUUUCUCUCAGCUUGAGAAGUUGUUUCCACAUCGAGGAUCCCUUACUCGAAGCAGGAAGUCUCCAAAAACAUUUCCGGCUCAUCUUAUUCUUUCUACACCAUGCAACCCACAAAGACCCCGAAGCAGAGAAAAGUUUCCAAAUGAGUUUGAGACCAAAUCCCUUAUUCCACGCUUUCAGAUCUUUUAGACCAAGUCCUCCUUCUUUCGGAGUACAAACUUGUCUCCAACUAACUUCGGCUUGCUUUUGGAUUUCACUUGCACCCGACCAUAGGAACCUUCUACAGAGCUUCUCAUGGUCCUUUAUACACUUAGCCGGUAGGAUAAAGGCUGCACACCAAUAAGCUAUAAUGUUCUGGAUCACUGAAGUUAAGAGUUGCAGACGCCCUGUAUUGGAGAGAUGUCUGUUUUGCCAGGUCUGGAGCUUUCUCCUGAUUCUUUGGAUUAAUGGUUCACAAUCAGAACGAGUGAGCGGUUUGGCAGCAGCGGGAAACCUAGAUAUUUCACCGGUAGGCAGCCCAUGGAAAAACCAAAGGAAGAGUUACAUCUGUUCUGAUCAGCCACAGAAGAGCCAACAAAGAAAAGUUCUGUUUUGUUUCUAUUAAGGAUCAACCCAGAGAUAUUCGAGAAAUACCCUAACAGAUUUACGAUAGCUUGCAGGGAAGAGUGUUCUCCAUCAAAGAACACCAUUACAUCAUCAGCAAAGAUCAUAUGAGUCACAGGGGGGUUUGACGCCUUAGGGUGAUAUCCGAUUUGGUCAGCUUGGUAUCUCAAGUCGAGAAGCCUGGAGAAUAUAUCCAUCCCAAUCACAAAAAGCAACCAAGAUGUCUAGGAUGAAGCUCCAUUCAAUUGAAUCAAAAGCUUUCUGGAGGUCAAUUUUGAGCAUUCCUCUUUUAGAGAUCCCAGAGUUGUUGUACCCUUGCACUAACUCGGAUGCAAGGAGGACAUUUUCCACUAUUUGAUGGUCCUUUAUGAAGGCGGUCUAGUUCUCUUGAAUCAUCUCUGGUAACAGGUUCUGAAGUCGUCUAGCCAGGAGCUUUGAAAUAAUCUUAUAGAUAGCAUUCAAACAAGAGAUGGGCCGGUAUUCAGUGACUGUUUCAGCAGUUGUAGUCUUGGGGAUCAUUGAAACAGUUGUGGAAUUCCAACUAGGUUCCAUCUUGCCGUGAAUAAAGAAGCUCUGAACUGCAAGAGUUACUUCUGAGCCAAUGAUAUCCCAACUAUGCCUAAAGAACUCACCCGUAUAUCCAUCAGGUCCAGGAACUUUAUCUCGUGGGAGGGCAAAGAAUUCAGCCUUGAUUUCUUGGGCGGUGAAUCCUCUGUUUAAGCUUGUUCGCUGAGCCUCUGAGCACCUAAAGGGGUGAAUGGACUGGAUACAAGCCUUGAGGCAAGGGGUACUACGCGAGGAACCAAAGAGGGACUCAUAGUAUUCGACGCAAGCUUCCUUGAUAGCAGUUUUUUCUGUAAUGACUGUUCCAUCUCCAAGACGCAGUCUCUUGAUUCCAUUGAAGGCGUUUUUUAUGACCACAUUUUUGUGGAAAAAACUUGUAUUCUCGUCACCAUCAGAGAUCUACUUGAGACCAGAUUUUUGAUGCAGGAAUGUUGCUUCGGCUGCAGACAGUUUCUGCCAUGUAAGAUAUGCCUGACGUUCUUCAGCUGCCGUCUCUGAAGAGGGGGAGGUAAACAACGUAGCUUGUGCUGCCUUGAGAUCCGCAAAAGCACCUCUCACUCUGUUUUCUAUCCCUGAGUAAGCUUCUCUAUUGAGCUCUCUAAGCUUACCUUUGAGUUUUUUAAUCUUUUGGGUUAUCUGGUACAUUAGAGAACCUGCCACUGGGGUAGAAUUCCAACACUCUCGCACGAUCUGAAGGAAAUUAUCAUGUUGCAAUAAGUGGUGGUUAAACCUGAAGGGCCUGAUUAUCCUCGGUCUUUUAUCUUGGAAUCUAAUACAGCAAGAUGCAUGAUCUGAGAAUAGAGGUUCUUUGAAAGUGGCAAUGGAAGUCGAGAAUUCAGCAAGGCAGUAUUAAUUGCCAAGCAACAAGAAGCAACAUACCAUAGAGCUACUACAUUAAUGUGGGUAUAUCUCCCCUCCUAGCGGACACCAUCAUGUAGAGUCAUGUCAAGAAAAAUCCUUAAAACAUAUAAUGUCAGAUCUAGGCCUAAACGCCAAUAAUUCUAACACAUGGGCCUUGCGUGUAAUAGCAAUAAUGAAUGACUCAACGAUAUUAAUAUAUUUGAUGAAUUCGUUUCUGUU